rnacentral:rRNA from 1 species
AUACGGAGGGUGCAAGCGUUAUCCGGAAUCAUUGGGUUUAAAGGGUCAGUAGGCGGACUAUUAAGUCAGAGGUGAAAUCCCACAGCUCAACUGUGGAACUGCCUUUGAUACUGGUAGUCUUGAGUUAUAUGGAAGUAGAUAGAAUGUGUAGUGUAGCGGUGAAAUGCAUAGAUAUUACACAGAAUACCGAUUGCGAAGGCAGUCUACUACGUAUAUACUGACGCUAAGGGACGAAAGCGUGGGGAGCGAACAGGAUUAGAAACCCCAGUAGUCC